UUAUUUCCUAAACUUUCACUUUUCUAUUAGAAGAUUCUGAUUAAAACAAAAACGCACACACAAGCAGAAAGAAGAAGAAGAAAAAGCUAUGAAAACAGGACAAGAAAGGAGAAAUUUCAGUAUCGUGUAAAGAAAAAAGAAAAAAGGAAGAAGAAGAAGAAGAAGAAGAAGAAUCGAAAGGACCAUCUUUCACAUUUUCAUCAGCAGGUCUUUGUUGGGUACUCUUCUGAUUCAGGACUUCCUAUUUUUAGUUUUUUUUUUUUUUUUUCCAAAGG